CUCUCUUUCACACACAUUUUUAAGGGCCUAUGGACCAAUACAACAUAUGCCUAGGUCGAUAGGUCCAUAGGUCAAGACUGACAGAUGGACCUAGAACAACAAUCCAAGAACAAUGCACAAACCACAUCAGAUGUGUAACCGGCACCACUCACAUGCAAAACUGUGCCAUCCAUGUAGCACAAACAGAAGCUUAGGUGCAGACAUUCAAGAAAUCCACCAUGCCACCUAGUGCAAAUACAAACAAGUACCGCCUCAAAAGGAGGUAGGUGUCAUACCUACAAAUUGCAUGCUACAUUUGUUUUACACUGGUAAUUACUAUAGCAUAAGAAGAAGAUCCAUAAUUGAAAUCUCUAACCACUAAAAUUUCCUCCAAAAACCAUGUCAAGUUGGUCAAAUUAAGAUUUAAACCAUUCAGCGAACAGAUUUUGAAAUGCUCCGCCCCCAUAUGGGCUAGAUCUUCACAAUCUGUUCCAAAACGUUCUCAGAUGAGAGUCUAUAUGGUUCAAUUGAAUCAAAGUAGCUAGGGAACUAGCCAUGAAUGUGAUUCAAACAAAAGAUUUUAGUCUUGGAGUAAAUGAAAAGAGACUGAAAAUCAUCUUUCUAAGAAAGUUGAUGGGUCCAUAGGUCAAGACUGUCAGAUGGACCUAGAACGACAAUCCAAUAACAAUGCACCGACCACAUCCGAUGCGUAACCGGCACCACUCACAUGCAAAACUAUGCCAUCCAUGUAGCACAAACAAAAGCUUAGGUGCAGACAUUCAAAAUAUCCACCAUGCACCUAGUGCAAAUACAUACAAGUACUGCCUCAAAAGGAGGUAGGUGCCAUACCUACAAAUUGUAUGCUACAUUUGUUUUAUGCUGGUGAUUACUGUAGCAUAGGAAGAAGAUCCAUACUUGAAAUCUCUAACCACUAAAAUUUCCUCUAAAAACCAUGUCAAGUUGGUCAAAUUAAGAUUUAAACCAUUCAGCUCACAGAUUUGAAAUGCUCCGCCCCCCUAUGGGCUAGAUCUUCACAAUCUGUUCCAAAAUGUCCUCAGAUGAGAGUCCAUAUAGUUCAAUUGAAUCAAAGCAGCUAGGGAACUAGCCAUGAAUGUGAUUCAAACAAAAGAUUUUAGUCUUGGAGUAAAUGAAAAGAGACUGAAAAUCAUCUUUCUAAGAAAGUCGAUGGGUCCAUAGGUCAAGACUGUCAGAUGGACCUAGAACGACAAUCCAAUAACAAUGCACUGACCACAUCAGAUGCGUAACCGGCACCACUCACAAGCAAAACUGUGCCAUCCAUGUAGCACAAACAGAAGCUUAGGUGCAGACAUUCAAAAAAUCCACCAUGCCACCUAGUGCAAAUACAAACAAGUACUGCCUCAAAAGGAGGUAGGUGCCAUACCUACAAAUUGUAUGCUACAUUUGUUUUAUGCUGGUAAUUACUGUAGCGUAAGAAGAAUAUCCAUACUUGAAAUCUCUAACCACUAAAAUUUCCUCCAAAAACCAUGUCAAGUUGGCCAAAUUAAGAUUUAAACCAUUCAGCUCACAGAUUUUGAAAUGCUCCGCCCCCAUAUGGGCUAGAUCUUCACAAUCUGUUCCAAAAUGUUCUCAGAUGAGAGUCUAUAUGGUUCAAUUGAAUCAAAGUAGCUAGGGAACUAGCCAUGAAUGUGAUUCAAACAAAAGAUUUUAGUCUUGGAGUAAAUGAAAAGAGACUGAAAAUCAUCUUUCUAAGAAAGUAGAUUUUAUCUCCUUUAUGCA